GAUGAGCGCUGGCGGUAUGCUUUACACACGCAAGUCGAACGCAAGUUUUAACUUGAGUGGCGGACGGGUGAGUAACACGUGAGAAUUCGCCUUUAGGCGGGGAAUAACUAUUAGAAACAAUAGCUAAUGCCCCAUAUGCUUUUAAAGUGAAAGAAAACUUUUCACCUGAAGAGAAGCUCGCGGCUGAUUAGCUAGUUGGUUAAGGUAAUGGCUUACCAAGGCGACGAUCAGUAACUGGUUUGAGAGAACGAUCAGUCACACUGGAACUGAGACACGGUCCAGACUCCUACGGGAGGCAGCAGUGGGGAAUUUUCCGCAAUGGGCGCAAGCCUGACGGAGCAAUACCGCGUGAGGGAUAAAGGGCCUUUCGGGUUGUAAACCUCUUUUUAAUCAAGGAGGAAAUUUUGACGUGUACUUGAUGAAUAAGCAUCGGGCUAAC
rnacentral:rRNA from 1 species